CAAGUCCACUCAUACGCUUACUAAAAAACACAGCGAGAGGUACUUCAGUUCAUGUUUGCGUCUCAGGGCUCUUCUUACUUCCACUCUGACUUCUUUAUCAAAGAGAUAAAGAUUAUGGGCAGGACAUGGAGGAGGAUGGGAACUUCUCUCCUCAUCAUGGCCCCAACAGAGAAGAAAGAGUCUACCUUCUUUGUAACUCCCCUAAGCUACUUUAACCUCUCUUCUCUCCAACUCUUGGGGGCGGCUGGUGGACGAAUGGACAGGAAGAUGGAUGAGGGCCAGGCGGCAAGCGGCAGAAGAUCUCUUUUGGUGGUAAACUGGAGGAGCAAGGAGUAAGGAGUAAGGAGAAGGCGGGGAGGGUGGUGAGCACCCAUGUUUUGAUAGAGAGCGUUGAGCAGACCAGAACGCAGGUUUUCUUCCCCCCCUCUCUCCUUCAAGACAGAUGUGAACGGUCCUGGCCGAGUCGCACCACCUGCAUCCCUGCUGUCAAGCCAACCACAUAGCAGG
rnacentral:lncRNA from 1 species